GUACAUGUAGUAAAGACCUGUGUAAUGCUAGUCCAGAAUUGGAUAUAUCAAGAAUAUUAUUCCUUCUCUCUAUCCUUCUCUCACUCCGCUGGACCCUACUCCGUCCUUCAUGACAAUAAAUGAAGGAUUACUAGUUUAUCCAGUGUAUACCGAACCAAUAAGCUGCCACAGUUGACCGGCCCAGCGUAUACCGAGCCAAUAGGCUGCUACACUUUACCGGCCCAGUGUAUACCGGACCAGGCUGCUACAGUUGACCGGCCCAGUGUAUACCGAACCAAAAGACUGCUACAGUUGACCGGCUCAGUGUAUACUGAACCAGGCUGCUACAGUUGACCGGCCCAGUGUAUACCGAACCAGGUUGCUGCAGUUGACCGGCCCAGUGUAUACCAAACAAGGCUGCUACAGUAGAUCGGCCCAGUGUAUACCGAACCAAUAGGCUGCUACAGUUGACCGGCCCAGUGUAUACUAAACCAGGUUGCUACAGUUGACCGGCCCAGUGCUUACCAAACAAGGCUGCUACUGUUGACCGGCCCAGUGUUUGCCGAACAAGGCUGCUACAGUUGACCGGCCCAGUGUAUAAUAAACCAGGUUGCUACAGUUGACCGGCCCAGUGUAUACCGAACCAGGUUGCUACAGUUGACUGGCCCAGUGUAUACCGAACAAGGCUGCUACAGUUGGCCGGCUAAAGGAACAUAUAUACUAUAAAAGAGACAUUAUCAUGAACCAGUCAUGAGUGACUUUUACAGUGAUAAAAUAAGGACUUGCUAACUUAGAGACUUAAAUAUUGUUAUAAAACCCUGGCUCAACUUUUUCAGCCCCAGAGAUCCUGUUUACGGACCAGAAUAAGAAAAUAAAGAAAAUGCACCCUGUAGAUAUGCCAGUUAUAUGUGAUGUGAUUAUAAAGUUGUUAACAACCAAAAUCAGCCAUUUUGUUUUGGAAAAACACUGUUCUCAAUGAGGUCGUUGAUUUUGAAGAAAAAUGUUAAUAACAUUAAGUUAUUGUGAAGUAAUAUUAGGUCUUAAUUUGAAAAUGUAAAAAUUUUUAGAACAGAACCACAAAUCUGGAAAGAAAAGCACUCACCAAUUAAUGAAAUUUAAUAUAUUUUCACAAAAAUUGGA